UGUUACUCCUGAAAUGUUUCAGUUAGAUUUAUCAAUUAAUAUAUAUAUCGACAGUGCAGUUGAUAUUCAGUGUUUUCUAGCUGAACAGAGAAUAUGCAGAUGUGUCUGCUAAUGGUGCUGCUACUGUUCGUGUUUGAACCCUUGUCUGCUCGUCCUAAAACUUACUUGAUAAUUACCAAGGAUAGUCUAGAGGUGUCUAUGCCAGGAUCUGAUUACAACGGACCAACAGCUUCUGCUGAAGCUGCUUUUGCAGCGAAAAGAGAAAAAUGCAAAGCGGACGGAAACAUUGAUUGUGUGUUUGCCUGAUCAUGGAGCUGUGCUGUGUCCGGUACCUGGAGCUGUGUUGUGUCAGGUACCUGGAGUAGAGGAUGCUUCAUCAACCCUCGAAAAAUAUUCUUGCAAUUUUAGAACUUUAAUAAAUAUUUGAUUCACGUUUCAAAA